AUUGAACGCUGGCGGCAGGCCUAACACAUGCAAGUCGAACGGUAACAGGAAGAAGCUUGCUUCUUUGCUGACGAGUGGCGGACGGGUGAGUAAUGUCUGGGAGACUGCCUGAUGGAGGGGGAUAACUACUGGAAACGGUAGCUAAUACCGCAUAACGUCGCAAGACCAAAAAGGGGGACCUUCGGGCCUCUUGCCAUCGGAUGUGCCCAGAUGGGAUUAGCUAGUAGGUGGGGUAACGGCUCACCUAGGCGACGAUCCCUAGCUGGUCUGAGAGGAUGACCAGCCACACUGGAACUGAGACACGGUCCAGACUCCUACGGGAGGCAGCAGUGGGAAUAUUGCACAAUGGGCGCAAGCCUGAUGCAGCCAUGCCGCGUGUAUGAAGAAGGCCUUCGGGUUGUAAAGUACUUUCAGCGGGGAGGAAGGGAGUAAAGUUAAUACCUUUGCUCAUUGACGUUACCCGCAGAAGAAGCACCGGCUAACUCCGUG
rnacentral:rRNA from 1 species